rnacentral:rRNA from 1 species
CCCUUAGAUGUUCUGGGCCGCACGCGCGCUACACUGAUGCAUUCAACGAGCCUAUCCUUGACCGACAGGUUCGGGUAAUCUUUGAAUCUGCAUCGUGACGGGGAUAGAUUAUUGCAAUUAUUAAUCUUCAACGAGGAAUGCCUAGUAGGCGCAAGUCAUCAGCUUGCGUCGAUUACGUCCCUGCCCUUUGUACACACCGCCCGUCGCUCCUACCGAUUGGGUGUGCUGGUGAAAUGUUCGGAUCGGCCGUUUGUCGCGGUUUCCGCGGCUCGUGGCUGAGAAGUUCAUUAAACCCUCCCACCUAGAGGAAGGAGAAGUCGUAACA